GAUGAACGCUGGCGGCGUGCCUAAUACAUGCAAGUCGAGCGAACAGACGAGGAGCUUGCUCCUCUGACGUUAGCGGCGGACGGGUGAGUAACACGUGGAUAACCUACCUAUAAGACUGGGAUAACUUCGGGAAACCGGAGCUAAUACCGGAUAAUAUAUUGAACCGCAUGGUUCAAUAGUGAAAGACGGUUUUGCUGUCACUUAUAGAUGGAUCCGGGCCCCAUUAGCUAGUUGGUAAGGUAACGGCUUACCAAGGCAACGAUGCGUAGCCGACCUGAGAGGGUGAUCGGCCACACUGGAACUGAGACACGGUCAAGACUCCUACGGGAGGAAGCAGUAGGGAAUCUUCCGCAAUGGGCGAAAGCUUGACGGAGCAACGCCGCGUGAGUGAUGAAGGUUUUCGGAUCGUAAACCUCUGUUAUUAGGGAAGAACAAAUGUGUAAGUAACUAUGCACGUCUUGACGGUACCUAAUCAGAAAGCCACGGCUAACUACGUG
rnacentral:rRNA from 1 species